rnacentral:rRNA from 1 species
UCCGUAGGCGGGUAAUUAAGUCAGAGGUGAAAUCCCACAGCUUAACUGUGGAACUGCCUUAGAUACUGGUUAUCUUGAGUUUUAGUGAAGUAGAUAGAAUGUGUAGUGUAGCGGUGAAAUGCAUAGAUAUUACACAGAAUACCGAUUGCGAAGGCAGUCUACUAACUAACAACUGACGCUAAUGGACGAAAGCGUGGGGAGCGAACAGGAUUAGAUACCCUAGUAGUCC